AAAUUGAAGAGUUUGAUCAUGGCUCAGAUUGAACGCUGGCGGCAGGCCUAACACAUGCAAGUCGAACGGUAACAGGAAGCAGCUUGCUGCUUUGCUGACAAGUGGCGGACGGGUGAGUAAUGUCUGGGAAACUGCCUGAUGGAGGGGGAUAACUACUGGAAACGGUAGCUAAUACCGCAUAACGUCGCAAGACCAAAGAGGGGGACCUUCGGGCCUCUUGCCAUUGGAUGUGCCCAGAUGGGAUUAGCUUGUUGGUGGGGUAACGGCUCACC
rnacentral:rRNA from 1 species